rnacentral:rRNA from 1 species
UACGAAGGGGGCUAGCGUUGCUCGGAAUGACUGGGCGUAAAGGGCGCGUAGGCGGAGUGCUUUGUCGGGCGUGAAAUUCCAGGGCUCAACCUUGGGGGCUGCGUUCGAGACGGGCAUUCUAGAGUGGAGAAGAGGGUCGUGGAAUUCCCAGUGUAGAGGUGAAAUUCGUAGAUAUUGGGAAGAACACCAGUGGCGAAGGCGGCUAACUGGUCCAGCACUGACGCUGAGGUGCGAAAGCGUGGGGAGCAAACAGG